UACGAAGGGGGGCGAGCGUUGUUCGGAUUUACUGGGCGUAAAGGGCGCGCAGGCGGCUCAUUUGUCAGGCGUGAAAGCCCCGGGCUUAACCUGGGAACUGCGUUUGAUACGGAUGGGCUAGAGUUCGGGGAGAGGAGAGUGGAAUUCCCAGUGUAGAGGUGAAAUUCGUAGAUAUUGGGAAGAACACCGGUGGCGAAGGCGGCUCUCUGGACCGAUACUGACGCUGAGGCGCGAAAGCGUGGGGAGCAAACAGG
rnacentral:rRNA from 1 species